rnacentral:rRNA from 1 species
UACGUAGGGCGCAAGCGUUAUCCGGAAUUAUUGGGCGAAAGAGCUCGUAGGCGGUUUUGUCGCGUCUGCCGUGAAAGUCCGGGGCUCAACUCCGGAUCUGCGGUGGGUACGGGCAGACUAGAGUGAUGUAGGGGAGACUGGAAUUCCUGGUGUAGCGGUGAAAUGCGCAGAUAUCAGGAGGAACACCGAUGGCGAAGGCAGGUCUCUGGGCAUUAACUGACUGAGGAGCGAAAGCAUGGGGGAGCGAACAGGG